rnacentral:rRNA from 1 species
CCUACGGGUGGCAGCAGUGAGGAAUAUUGGUCAAUGGGCGCUAGCCUGAACCAGCCAAGUAGCGUGAAGGAUGACUGCCCUAUGGGUUGUAAACUUCUUUUAUAUGGGAAUAAAGUGCAGUAUGUAUACUGCUUUGCAUGUACCUUAUGAAUAAGGAUCGGCUAACUCCGUGCCAGCAGCCGCGGUAAUACGGGGGAUGCAAGCGUUAUCCGGAUUUAUUGGGUUUAAAGGGUGCGUAGGCGGUAUGUCAGGUCAAGGGUGAAAUCCCCGCGCUCAACGUGGGAACUGCCUUUGAAACUGGCAAACUGGAGUGUGUGAGAGGAUAGUGGAAUUCCAGGUGUAGGAGUGAAAUCCGUAGAUAUCUGGAGGAACAUCAGUGGCGAAGGCGACUAUCUGGCACAUAACUGACGCUGAGGAGCGAAAGCGUGGGUAGCAAACAGGAUUAGAUACCCUAGUAGUC